AUUUAUAUUAAUAAGCACAGUAAUAAUUACCAGAAUUUCACAUCCAAAGUAAUAAAUUAAAAAAUCGGAAGAUUCGGUGAAGUGAAAAGAUAAAGUGGGUCUUGUCAUUUUGUGCAUUGCCAAUAAUGUAACCAAGAAAUUGCCGAUUUAUUCAAUGAAAUGGAACUAUUUAGGGUGGCAGCCACGCUGACCUAGUUUUGCGGCGGCCAUCGCAAAUUCCUCUAGCCAGACGAAAUUCUAGGAACUCUUACUACGUUUUUACUACGGAAUCCCGGAAUGUCUGGAAAAUUACUAAAACUGGAAAUAUUGAUAUUUACCGCGUUUUUGUGUGUUUUUUGAUGGCUGAAAAACUGGUAUCAAUAGAAAAUUAAAGAAUACGCUAAUAUCUAUGGAAA